rnacentral:rRNA from 1 species
GGAAACAGCUUGCUGAUUCGCUGACGAGUGGCGGACGGGUGAGUAAUGUCUGGGAAACUGCCUGAUGGAGGGGGAUAACUACUGGAAACGGUAGCUAAUACCGCAUAACGUCGCAAGACCAAAGAGGGGGACCUUCGGGCCUCUUGCCAUCGGAUGUGCCCAGAUGGGAUUAGCUUGUAGGUGGGGUAACGGCUCACCUAGGCGACGAUCCCUAGCUGGUCUGAGAGGAUGACCAGCCACACUGGAACUGAGACACGGUCCAGACUCCUACGGGAGGCAGCAGUGGGGAAUAUUGCACAAUGGGCGCAAGCCUGAUGCAGCCAUGCCGCGUGUAUGAAGAAGGCCUUCGGGGUUGUAAAGUACUUUCAGCGGGGGAGGAAGGGAGUAAAAGUUAAUACCUUUUGCUCAUUGACGUUACCCGCAGAAAAAGCACCCGGCUAACUCCCGUGCCCAGCAGCCGCGGGUAAUACCGGAGGGUGCCAAGCGUUUAUUCGGAAUUUACCUGGGCGUAA